rnacentral:rRNA from 1 species
AACGAACGCUGGCGGCAUGCCUAACACAUGCAAGUCGAACGAGACCUUCGGGUCUAGUGGCGCACGGGUGCGUAACGCGUGGGAAUCUGCCCUUGGGUUCGGAAUAACAGUUAGAAAUGACUGCUAAUACCGGAUAAUGUCUUCGGACCAAAGAUUUAUCGCCCAGGGAUGAGCCCGCGUAGGAUUAGCUAGUUGGUGAGGUAAAGGCUCACCAAGGCGACGAUCCUUAGCUGGUCUGAGAGGAUGAUCAGCCACACUGGGACUGAGACACGGCCCAGACUCCCUACGGGAGGCAGCAGUGGGGAAUAUUGGACAAUGGGCGAAAGCCUGAUCCAGCAAUGCCGCGUGAGUGAUGAAGGCCUUAGGGUUGUAAAGCUCUUUUACCCGGGAUGAUAAUGACAGUACCGGGAGAA